rnacentral:rRNA from 1 species
AGAAAGCGUAAUAGCUCACUGGUCUAAUGAUACCGCGCCGAAAAUUUAACGGGGCUAAGCAUAGUACCGAAGCUACGGAUUCGAUAAGCUGAUUUAAGUUUAUUAAUACACGCACGACGGGAGUUAGAUUAAGCGAGCGGUUUUUGCUCGCAAAAUUCCCCUCCUGCUAAGCACUGUUGCAAUGAAGCACAUUGGUUUUGUGCUUGCAGAGCACAAGGCGACUUAUUAGUCGACUUAAAUCAGCUUAUCGAAUGGUAGGAGAACAUUGUGGCCGCCUGUGAAGGUACACCGAAAGGAGUGCUGGAGGUUCCACAAGAGCUUAUGUUGACACGAGUAGCGAAAAACAAGGUGAGAAACCUUG